CUACGGGAGGCAGCAGUGGGGAAUAUUGCACAAUGGGCGCAAGCCUGAUGCAGCCAUGCCGCGUGUGUGAAGAAGGCCUUCGGGUUGUAAAGCACUUUCAGUAGGGAGGAAGGUGGUAGUGUUAAUAGCGCUAUCAUUUGACGUUACCUACAGAAGAAGCACCGGCUAACUCCGUGCCAGCAGCCGCGGUAAUACGGAGGGUGCGAGCGUUAAUCGGAAUUACUGGGCGUAAAGCGCAUGCAGGUGGUUUGUUAAGUCAGAUGUGAAAGCCCCGGGCUCAACCUGGGAAUUGCAUUUGAAACUGGCAAACAAGAAUACUGUAGAGGGGGGUAGAAUUUCAGGUGUAGCGGUGAAAUGCGUAGAGAUCUGAAGGAAUACCGGUGGCGAAGGCGGCCCCCUGGACAGAUACUGACACUCAGAUGCGAAAGCGUGGGGAGCAAACAGGAUUAGAUACCCUGGUAGUCCACGCCGUAAACGAUGUCUACUUGGAGGUUGUGCCCUUGAGCCGUGGCUUUCGGAGCUAACGCGUUAAGUAGACCGCCUGGGGAGUACGGUCGCAAGAUUAAAACUCAAAUGAAUUGACGGGGGCCCGCACAAGCGGUGGAGCAUGUGGUUUAAUUCGAUACAACGCGAAGAACCUUACCUACUCUUGACAU
rnacentral:rRNA from 1 species